rnacentral:rRNA from 1 species
UAUUUAAGGUACAUCCUGCCAUAUGAUGAAAGUAAAUGGCCGCAGUAUCUUGACUGUGCAAAGGUAGACUGAUAAAUUGCCCUUUAAUAGGGGGAUUCACUAAUGGAUAAACGAGAUGCAGGCUGUCUCAAUUUAGUUAAGCGAAUUUAACAAGAAGGUGAAGAGGCCUUCAUUAAUUUGCGGGACGCGUAGACCCUACAGCGCUUUACUUUUUUAAGUUUGGUUGGGGCGGCAUUGGAAAAUCUAAAUCUUCCAAAAAUUUUAAGACUACCAAGUAAUAGAUCCGGGGCUUUCGAGAGUUGGCAUUAGCAACCUUAGGGAUAACAGACUCCUCCCUCUAGAGAGCUCAAAUUGAUAGAGGGGCUAGGCACCUCGAUGUUGGCUCGGAUGAAGCAGUGUGGUGCAGAAGCUACACUAUGCGGGUUUGUCCAACCUUUAAUUAUCCUUG